CACACGACUCUCGGCAACGGAUAUCUCGGCUCUCGCAUCGAUGAAGAACGUAGCGAAAUGCGAUACCUGGUGUGAAUUGCAGAAUCCCGCGAACCAUCGAGUCUUUGAACGCAAGUUGCGCCCGAGGCCUCUUGGCCGAGGGCACGCCUGCCUGGGAGUCACGC
rnacentral:rRNA from 3 species